ACCUUCUCCUGCAUGGGGGUUGGUGGAAAGCUUUUGCGGUACAGGAUGGGCCCSCGSCCUAUCAGCUUGUUGGKGGGGUAAUGGCCUACCAAGGCGACGACGGGUAGCCGGCCUGAGAGGGCGACCGGCCACACUGGGACUGAKACACGGYCCASACUCCUACGGGAGGCAKCAGUGGGGAAUAUUGCACAAUGGGCGCAAGCCUGAUGCARCGACGCCGCGUGAGGGAUGACGGCCUUCGGGUUGUAAMCCUCUUUCAGUAGGGACGAARCGCAAGUGACGGUACCUACASAAGAAKCACCGGCCAACUACGUGCCAGCAGCCGCGGUAAUACGUAGGGUGCCKCGUUGUCCGGAAUUACUGGGCGUAMARAGCUCGUAGGCGGUUUGUCMCGUCGGCUGUGAAACCCGAGCCUCAACCUCGGGCCUGCRGCGAUACKGGCAKACUUGARUACUGUAGGGGAGACUGGCAUUUCCUGGGUGUASCGGUGGAAAUGCGCAM
rnacentral:rRNA from 1 species